AGAGUUUGAUUCUGGCUCAGAUUGAACGCUGGCGGCAUGCCUUACACAUGCAAGUCGAACGGUAACAGGUCUUCGGAUGCUGACGAGUGGCGAACGGGUGAGUAAUACAUCGGAACGUGCCCGAGAGUGGGGGAUAACGAAGCGAAAGCUUUGCUAAUACCGCAUACGAUCUCAGGAUGAAAGCAGGGGACCGCAAGGCCUUGCGCUCACGGAGCGGCCGAUGGCAGAUUAGGUAGUUGGUGGGAUAAAAGCUUACCAAGCCGACGAUCUGUAGCUGGUCUGAGAGGACGACCAGCCACACUGGGACUGAGACACGGCCCAGACUCCUACGGGAGGCAGCAGUGGGGAAUUUUGGACAAUGGGCGCAAGCCUGAUCCAGCCAUGCCGCGUGCAGGAUGAAGGCCUUCGGGUUGUAAACUGCUUUUGUACGGAACGAAAAGACUCCUUCUAAUAAAGGGGGUCCAUGACGGUACCGUAAGAAUAAGCACCGGCUAACUACGUGCCAGCAGCCGCGGUAAUUCA
rnacentral:rRNA from 1 species